CGUGAAAGGCCGGCUGGGGAAGACCGGCGGGGCGGCCGCAGUCUGCUCGCCCGGGCGACAGACGCUCCGAGAUGCCGAAGGGCCAGCAGCGGCCCCGAAGCUCCGGGCUGGCCGCGCUGUCGCUCUGCCGCGCCCCGGUCUCGAAGGCCAUUAGUAGGCAGGGCCAGCGCUUCGGUCAGUGAUUGGAUUUGUCCCAGUCGCCUCCUAGUUCUUUUUGCCCUAUAUUCAAAGAGCUUAAAAGUCAUGGGUGGUUGAAGUAGGUCAGAGUGAUCACCAGGCUGUUGUUGCCUGGCAGCCCAGUGGCAGGGUCCGAGACAAGGUGGUAUUCCAGUAGAUGCCCUCGGGCCGUACCAACCCAGGGUCAAGGACUAGCUGCUCCAGUGCUAUAUGUGAUCAGCUCAUUUCCAGUUUCUCAAUCAUUCUGAUGUCAUCCGAGGGACAGAAGACCCCACGGCUCCUCCUCUUUGCCUAGUUUACACAUCGGGGUUGUUCUAGCAUUUGUAGUUUUCAGGUUCUAGAAUAUUCUUUUCCUCUGUCAGCCCCCACUAAGAAGCUUUCUUGAUUUCCCCCUUUGUUUCCAGUGAAGGUGCCUCUUCCUGGCUAGCCCACCUACAUGCUGUCAUCACUGGGCUUCUGCAACUCUCAGUCUUUGUGGCUGCACCCUUCCCUUCUGAAUCCUGAGGACCCAUGAGUGUCAGGCCCAUCAUGAAAUUGGUCGUCUUACUGGGUAA
rnacentral:lncRNA from 1 species